UAGUACGACUUGAAAAAGGAUGCAAAACACUUUCUUCAAAAAAAAUUACUCUACAAGUCAUCUUCUCUACUUAUAUGUUAUCAAUACAAACACUUCUUCUUGUUCAUCUUCUUCAAAUAUUUCCAUUACACACAUCUUGAUUAUUUUCUUUCUUCUUCAACAAAAAUUUCAAGAAAAAUAAGGUCACACAUAUAUGUGUACUACAUAAAAAAAGUUUGAUUUAGCACAUGGAGUAUUCAACUUUGCUCUGACGCCGUUGUUAGAAUUUCGUGUAACAAGAAUGAAGUUAUGUACCUGUUAAUAACAGUGGAAUGUUAAUCGGAAAAAAUUGCUCCAAGUCCAACCUUGAAUCACUAGGAAAGGAAGGAUGAUUUUCACAAACUAAAUGUGCAAACUGCACCCGCACAUCCACAGUCGGCUGAACAAUUUAUCAUAUUAAGUUACUCAUCUUUACUAUAAUUUCCUUUUGGAACUAGUGUGAUUUUCAUCAAGUUUUGAAUAUAAUAUAUUUUUAAUAUCUUCUUCUAGUUCUAACCAAUUUAUCUUAUCUUUCUUUUUAUUAGGGGCCUGACAAUCCCUAGCAUGGUGUCCGGUUUUUCCAAAGUUCCAACACGUAUCAAUAUUGUUAUUAUCUAAUUUAGAUUUUCUAGAUUUUCUUUUGUAAUAAUGGUGUUCGUCAUUUUUAUCCUUAUAAUAAUUACGACGACGUUUAACCUU